ensembl:lncRNA
CUUGGAAUAUAAAUGCAAUUUCAGAGUCAUAGAAGAGAGCUUUUGGAUUUCUAGAAGCUAUAAACAAUGAACCUGGACAGCUGUGAACUUGUUUGGCCUGCCAUGAAUUUCAAGCAACAUCAUGAAAGUUAUGAUGUGGUUCAUCAAUAAUGGAAAUGGCUGUGCAACCGGUGCCCAUCUGCAAUGCUAUACAGAAAAGUGCUCUUCUAUAAUGUUUUUUCUUGCUGUUAUGUUUUGCAGUUACCAGAUUUCUGAAGGCCAGAAGCACCCUAAUUCUGUGUCUGUUCUUUCUCCCUGGAAAGCUGGUACUGAGCACUGUGUACUGCCAUAGAAGAUUUACGAUUGCUUAACCCCAAAUACUUGGUCUCAAAGCUGAAUUUAAUGGAGGAGGUUCCCUUCCAUUAUAAUCUUAAUAUCCUUAAUAUGUUCUUUUGGUUUAGUGGUGUUUCAGCAGGUUUGUAUUUAUAGGUGCUAUUUUCCUUGCUCCCCACUGCAGCAGUGACUGUAUAUCUACCUUGGUUGACUAUUAUCCCUUGGUGCUUUUGCUGUGAUAUACUUAAUUACAUUGUUCUGCUUUUGUCUCAGAUCAGGGCAAGGACAAAAACACAACAGUGAAGAAAUCUUUGGAGUAUCCAUCCUAUCUGCACAUCAUCCAUAGCCAUCUGAGUGCUGUUGCAGCGGCUCAACUGCACUUGUAUUGCCGGGUGUAUCUGAUGGGUUGAGGAUCGGCAGUGGUUGGAUUAGGAAAAGCAAUUGUUGUAGGAAUCUUUUGAAUCCUGCAAAAGUUUGGAUGAAACCUGUGGCAGUCACUGCAAGACCGCUCUGCUUUAAGAGAAUUGUGUGCUCCAGAAGAGCUGGAAGCUGUGAGAAAACAGCACUUCACCAGCCCAGGAAAGGGAGAAAAGGCAUUUCAUACACCGCUAUAGGCUGGUAAACAAAAGUCACUGGAAACUCACAGCCAUGGCAGACACUUUAAAAACAAGACCAUGCUUCCUCUGUGCUUGCUUCUUCCUGCUACCU